UGGUAUACAAGCUAAGAAAAUAUUAUACCUGUAUAGGACACUUACUAUGAAUGGAGUAACUUUCAGAACUGGAAGUUGCUCUCGGUGAGUCAGUGGGUGAAUGGUGAGUAAAUGUGAAGGCUUAGGACAUUAUUAUUUACUACUGUAGACUUUAUUAAUACUGUACACUUAGGUGAUGCUAGAUUUAUUAAAAAAUCUUUAACUUUCUUCAAAAUAAACAGCUUACUCUAACUUUUCUACUUUAUGAACUUUAGAUUUUUAACUGUUUGAUUAUUUUGUAAUUGUAAUUAGCUUAAAACACGAAC